GAUGAACGCUGGCGGCGUGCCUAAUUCAUGCAAGUCGAGCGAACAGAUGAGGAGCUUGCUCCUCUGACGUUAGCGGCGGACGGGUGAGUAACACGUGGAUAACCUACCUAUAAGACUGGGAUAACUUCGGGAAACCGGAGCUAAUACCGGAUAAUAUAUUGAACCGCAUGGUUCAAUAGUGAAAGACGGUUUUGCUGUCACUUAUAGAUGGAUCCGCGCCGCAUUAGCUAGUUGGUAAGGUAACGGCUUACCAAGGCGACGAUGCGUAGCCAACCUGAGAGGGUGAUCGGCCACACUGGAACUGAGACACGGUCCAGACUCCUACGGGAGGCAGCAGUAGGGAAUCUUCCGCAAUGGGCGAAAGCCUGACGGAGCAACGCCGCGUGAGUGAUGAAGGUCUUCGGAUCGUAAAACUCUGUUAUUAGGGAAGAACAAAUGUGUAAGUAACUAUGCACGUCUUGACGGUACCUAAUCAGAAAGCCACGGCUAACUACGUG
rnacentral:rRNA from 1 species